AAGUGUCAUAAGUCAAAGGUUAUUUGAGGCUGGGGUUAGCUGGCAAGGGGGUAUGUGGAGGGUUGUUAGUGGUUAGUGGUUACUGGUUUGGCAAAAGGGAGGGUAUAGCCAUGUGAGGUCUAGGCCCUAGGCUUGAAGGUUCAUUGACCAGAGGUCAGUGAUAUGUGGAGCUUUAAAUCAUGCAAGCUUGGGGAUCGCAGGAGUGUCGGAUGGUAGGUGAAGGCUGAUUAUUGAGCCUGAGGCUUCAAUGGGUAGGUAUGAUACAGAUCUCGAUGAAGCUUGACCUUUGGUCAACUAAUCUCUCUCUCUCUCUCUCUCACACACCCUUUUAUGAAGGGAGCUCAUUCCUUCAGACGAUCCCUUGAGCUCUAGCCUCCAUUACAUAAUCCUCCUUCAGUCUCAAGCAACUUGGGCCCUGCGGUCCCUGCCUUCAACCCGAGUGUGAAUCUUUGCCCUCAGGGGCGGGUUACCUUUGCGUCAUGCCUCAGGGAUGUCCUUCGGCCAGGAUAAAACCUUCAUUCCUGAAGUUGCCUUACUUCAAAGUUCAAAUCUUAGUAUUUGGUACCAUGUACCCACAAUAAGCUACUUAGUUUUUGUGAAUUUUGUAGCCUAUAUGUUAAGAGGCACUUAAAAUUUUAAGCAAUGUAAAAUGUGAUUAUCAAACCAACUUAAUUAGUAAUCACUUAGUCCAUUCAGUUUUAAGUGUUAAAUUGUGUCAUCAAACAACCCUUCACAUAACUAGUGAUAACAAAAACUUUUAUGUAGUUGUGAACAAAAGCUGCAAAAACAUGCUAUUUUUUUAUUAUUAUCUAUGGCUAUAGCACUACUGGGCUUCAAGGCACUUCUGCCCUUGAGCCAAUCAAUCACUUGAAGUUCAAGAGCGGAAAUGAUCUUCACGCGCUCCUUGGAAUAAAGAGGUAUAUAUAACCCUUGUUAAAUGAAUUCAAAUAACCACAUAGCAUGGUCUGGUAUAAGCUUCCCCACUUUUGUCAGUAAGGGUUCCCUCAUUGAAGAUUUUAUCAAGUAAAGGAUAUCAAUGAAGGGGUACCAAAACUGCUCUUGCUAACAUGAUCCAUAUGUAGGUGUGUGUCUUUCAUUCCUAAAUGGUUUUCAUGGAGAUGUGGAGGUUAACUAUCGGCUGUAUAAAUCGAAGGAUAUAACUUCUUAAUUGGAUUGGACCAAGUACUAAAUGCAAUAGUUUUGACCUUUUAGGUGGUGGAAAAUUUGCAAACCUUCGAGCGUUAUUUCUUGUUCGUACAGUACUAUUUAGCCAAUCCUGGAAGCUCCAGGAAGGCAGGAACCAUAAUCUUGAAAUGUUUCUUGGUACUUCAUUUCCUUCUUUCCAUUUUUUGAUAUUCAUGAAAUAUUCGACCUUUUCGUUAGACUACCUUUAGUUAUGUUUUCGAUGGAAUUAAAACCUUGCAUUUAGUGAGAUCCAAAAAGUCCUUGUAGGAAACAAGGAGUGAACUAUUUCAAAGAGUGAUCUUUUGGUGGUUCGGAUUCAAAAUGGGGAUUUAGUAUUCUAUACAUUUAGAUGAACUAUGAGCAUAUGCAAGCUAGUUUCUGAAACAAGCUGAAUUAUACCUUUAACCGUCAUUGUUAGGUUUAUAGGUUAUUUGAAGUAGUUUGUUGUGUUUCUUAUUUGCCACUGGAGAGCAAGCUGUUUUAAGCUUGUCCUAGUUUGUUGGCAUUUUGGAACUUCCAAAAUCAAUGGCAUUAAAGGCAUUUAAAAUUCAUUGGCCUAUAUAUCAAGUUGCUUUAGAUGGAAAUUUAUACUUUUAUAUUAUGAAGUUCAAUUAAUAUGUUACUUAAUAGUUAAGUCUAAGAGGGAUAUAAUUUGCAAUUAUGGAGCCACAUUGUUGUUAAGUUUGGAAAUUGUUAAGUAGGAAAUAUCCACUCCUUACAUGCCACUAUUUUUAUUCAUUUUUGGAAAAUCGUCCCUUUUAGAAGAGUGAAAAUGCAUGUUGUUACAGUAACAUAGAUGGACAUUUUUGGCAAUUUCAGACUGCUAUUUGAGUGAAUGCAUUUAUUGCAUAUCCCCCUUUUCUGAUAAAUAAAAUAGAGGGGCAUUUUUGGGGUUUAGUAGGUGAAAAAACAGCUCGGAGUCUGGGACAUGGGGAUCGUUUUCAAAAUAUAAACUGUUUUUUGGUUUUUAAAAUUCUAAGGAAAUGAGCUUGUUGCUAGAAAUUCUAAACUCCACAAAAUGAUGUAUGUUAAUUUCAACAUGCUAGCUUGUUAAUAAUAAUCAAAAUCAUUAAUCUUGUGCCCCUAGUGUUUUUAACUUCAUGUAUUUUUAUUGGAAAGAGUUCAGCAAUCUGAACAUUCUGCCUCUAGUUUAUAGGAACAGCAGUUCUCUCUGGCUUUGAUCUAAAAUGUAUAUCACAAACAAGCAUAGACGAAGAAGAACUACAGGUGGUGUUCAUGUUAUGGAACUUUCUCAUUUUUUUUUUUUUUUGAUCAGUAUGUUUUAUUGUUGAGUUGCACAUUUUUAUACUGGCUUGAUUCAGUUAACUGGAUGGAUCUAUUGCAUCUAUUGUGCAGCGAUUAUUCUGUGUUUGCAGAUGUCAUUGUGUUGGUGGUAGGGCACAUGAAAUGUGAACAGAAAAGACUGGAAAAGGUUGUGGUAUUUGUUCUGCGACAAGUGGUAAUCUUAGAAAAGGUUAAGCAAUUCCGUUCUUUUGUUUUUCCGUUUCUGAACCAAUUUUGAUACCAAUAGCUUGGAUUAAUAAGGUACAAAAGAGUAAACUGAUGCGAUCUUCCUGAUGUCUCUGUAAUUUACAUAUUGUUAUCUAGUCACUAAUCAGGUAAACAUGGUCCUCUUAUGUUGCAACCUUUAGUUCCUUUUUCCCCCUAAUAAUUUUUGUAGUCACAACUACGUUCGAUUUCUUGCGCACCAGACGUAGCUUGUGAUUUGGUUUUACCGGUUGGAGUUUUCUCUUAAGCUCGGGAAUGGGGAAUCUCUGCAGUGCAUACUCGGUAUGUUUGCAAGGGUGACGUAAGCAGCCUCCGGUAUUAUAAACAUCGGAAUCAAGUUUGCCUUAUAGAAAUUGCUCAAGAAUAUCAAGUUGUUCAUGUUAGAGAACUUCUCACAAAAUAUUAGACUCUUAGAGGUUGAAAUGUGGGAGGAACGCUACUAAGUAAUGUUUUCUUGUUUGGGGCCAGGGCUUUCUGUGAUUUUGACCUCUAUGAUUCCGAACUGGGUGCUUAUUUGGGGUGUUGCAGCUUUAUUACUGAAUUUGGUUGAUCUAAUCUGGAAGUUGCAAUGACAAGAACAACAAAGGUGCACGUUCGGAUCCAUAUAUAGAAUCAGCACUACCGGGGUUUUCCAGACAUGGAACAAACUAGAAGCUUGACCAGAAGUCAUAAAUAGGGAACUGAUCUCUCCGUGAGAAGGAGAACGUUGCCAUUUCAACCUAUAGUGGGGAACCUUGCCAAAAUUUGACCAUUUGUCCAUAGAUAAGAUUUCAAAAAAAUUUAUGUGGUACCAACAUGAAGACACAACUAUCAUAUGCAUUUGCUAUUUGGAUGAAUCUGAACUUAGGUAUUGGGUAGUGGAGGAGAAUCGAAAUUAAAUAUGAACCAAGCUUUUAGUAAAGCUUUCGCAUGAUUAGAAGUUUGAAAUAUGGGGUGAUCGUGAGUUGGAAAAUGGUUUUUAUAAUAGUUUUAUGUAUCAUGUGGUUGUGGCUUAUGGUGGUCCAAAAGAUUCAAGAAUCCACAAAGGCCGCUCGAUGGUGGGCUCAGAGGUUUCUUACAUAUCUAUUUUGGAGGUUCUAAAAUAGCAAAGGCCAAUUCUGUCCUAGAAUGGGAAGAAAGUUUGAGGCCAGUUAUUAGAGAGAGAAAAAUCGAUACGAAAGAUGGAAUAUCGAAACAAAAACUAGUCUUUCACGAGUUGCAUUUUAGGAAUUGAAUGAAGGGGAUAUUUCAGUGGGAGGUAUAUCAUCGAAACUUAUUUUCGUACGGACUCUUAAUCUCAAUGUGGAUUGGUCGAAUUUUGUGG